GGCCAGGAGACCAGGAGCAGGAGGCCAGGAGCAGGCCAGGAGACCAGGAGCAGGCCAGGAGACCAGGAGCAGGAGGCCAGGAGACCAGGAGCAGAAGGCCAGGAGACCAGGAGCAGGAGGCCAGGAGACCAGGAGCAGAAGGCCAGGAGACCAGGAGCAGGAGGCCAGGAGACCAGGAGCAGAAGGCCAGGAGACCAGGAGCAGAAGGCCAGGAGACCAGGAGCAGGAGGCCAGGAGACCAGGAGCAGGCCAGGAGACCAGGAGCAGAAGGCCAGGAGACCAGGAGCAGGCCAGGAGACCAGGAGCAGGCCAGGAGACCAGGAGCAGAAGGCCAGGAGACCAGGAGGCCAGGAGACCAGGAGCAGAAGGCCAGGAGACCAGGAGCAGAAGGCCAGGAGACCAGGAGCAGAAGGCCAGGAGACCAGGAGCAGGCCAGGAGACCAGGAGCAGAAGGCCAGGAGACCAGGAGCAGAAGGCCAGGAGACCAGGAGCAGGCCAGGAGACCAGGAGCAGAAGGCCAGGAGACCAGGAGCAGACCAGGAGACCAGGAGCAGGCCAGGAGACCAGGAGCAGGCCAGGAGACCAGGAGCAGAAGGCCAGGAGACCAGGAGCAGAAGGCCAGGAGACCAGGAGCAGGCCAGGAGACCAGGAGCAGAAGGCCAGGAGACCAGGAGCAGAAGGCCAGGAGACCAGGAGCAGGCCAGGAGACCAGGAGCAGAAGGCCAGGAGACCAGGAGCAGGCCAGGAGACCAGGAGCAGAAGGCCAGGAGACCAGGAGCAGACCAGGAGACCAGGAGCAGGCCAGGAGACCAGGAGCAGAAGGCCAGGAGACCAGGAGCAGACCAGGAGACCAGGAGCAGGCCAGGAGACCAGGAGCAGGCCAGGAGACCAGGAGCAGGAGGCCAGGAGACCAGGAGCAGAAGGCCAGGAGACCAGGAGCAGGAGGCCAGGAGACCAGGAGCAGAAGGCCAGGAGACCAGGAGCAGGAGGCCAGGAGACCAGGAGCAGAAGGCCAGGAGACCAGGAGCAGGAGGCCAGGAGACCAGGAGCAGGCCAGGAGACCAGGAGCAGGCCAGGAGACCAGGAGCAGGAGGCCAGGAGACCAGGAGCAGAAGGCCAGGAGACCAGGAGCAGGAGGCCAGGAGACCAGGAGCAGGCCAGGAGACCAGGAGCAGAAGGCCAGGAGACCAGGAGCAGACCAGGAGACCAGGAGCAGGCCAGGAGACCAGGAGCAGGCCAGGAGACCAGGAGCAGGAGGCCAGGAGACCAGGAGCAGAAGGCCAGGAGACCAGGAGCAGGAGGCCAGGAGACCAGGAGCAGAAGGCCAGGAGACCAGGAGCAGGAGGCCAGGAGACCAGGAGCAGAAGGCCAGGAGACCAGGAGCAGGAGGCCAGGAGACCAGGAGCAGAAGGCCAGGAGACCAGGAGCAGGAGGCCAGGAGACCAGGAGCAGGCCAGGAGACCAGGAGCAGAAGGCCAGGAGACCAGGAGCAGAAGGCCAGGAGACCAGGAGCAGGCCAGGAGACCAGGAGCAGGCCAGGAGACCAGGAGCAGAAGGCCAGGAGACCAGGAGACCAGGAGACCAGGAGCAGAAGGCCAGGAGACCAGGAGCAGAAGGCCAGGAGACCAGGAGGGCAGGAGACCAGGAGCAGAAGGCCAGGAGACCAGGAGCAGAAGGCCAGGAGACCAGGAGCAGGGCCAGGAGACCAGGAGCAGGCCAGGAGACCAGGCGGUGCAGCCGUGCAUCAGCCACUCGUAGGAGAACCCAAUGAUCAGACCAGUCAGAUGCUGAGCUGUGUCAGGUCUCUGCUCAGCCUCUACAGGAGCGCAGCCUCCUCACGGGUCCCCAGGAGCUCACGUGUGCUCCGCUCCCCCACAGCAGCUGUGCUCUCCCACACGUCUCAUCAUGAGUUGCUGCGUUGCAUCAACCUAAUUAAAGCAACGCUGUGUUCAGAACAGCCUGGAGACAUUCCUGCCCACGGUGGAGGCUGUUACAUCACCCUGUUAGAGCACAGCAGCACAGCAGCAGCAGAGCAGCACAGCAGCAGAGCAACACUGCAGCACAGCAGCAGCAGAGCAGCACAGCAACACUGCAGCACGGCAGCAGCACAGCAGCACAACAGCACUGCCGCAGAGCAGCACUGCAGCACUGCAGCACAGCAGCAGAGCAGCACAGCAGCAGCAGAGCAGCAGAGCAACACUGCAGCAGAGCAGCACAGCAGCAGAGCAGCACUGCAGCACAGCAGCAGAGCAGCAGAGCAGCACAGCAGCAGAGCAGCACAGCAGCAGAGCAACACUGCAGCAGAGCAGCACAGCAGCAGAGCAACACUGCAGCAGAGCAGCACUGCAGCACUGCAGCACAGCAGCAGAGCAGCACAGCAGCAGCAGAGCAGCAGAGCAACACUGCA
ensembl:lncRNA